GAUGAACGCUGGCGGCGUGCCUAAUACAUGCAAGUCGAGCGAACGGACGAGAAGCUUGCUUCUCUUAUGUUAGCGGCGGACGGGUGAGUAACACGUGUAUAACCUACCUAUAAGACUUGGAUAACUUCGGGAAACCGUAUCUAAUACCGGAUAAUAUUUUGAACCGCAUGGUUCAAUAGUGUAAGACGGUCUUGCUGUCACUUAUAGAUGGAUCCGCGCUGCAUUAGCUAGUUGGGAAGGUAACGGCUUACCAAGGCAACGAUGCAUAGCCGACCUGAGAGGGUGAUCGGCCAAACUGGAACUGAGACAGGGAACAGACUACUACGGGAGGCAGCAGUAGGGAAUAUUACGAAAUGGGCGAAAGCAUGACGGAGCAAAGCCGCGUGAGUGAUGAAGGACUUCGGAUCGUAAAACUCUGUUAUUAGGGAAGAAAAUAUGUGUAAGUAACUGUGCACAUAGUGACGGUAACUAAUCAGAAAGCCACGGCUAACUACGUG
rnacentral:rRNA from 1 species